GACGAAGGGGGCAAGCGUUGUUCGGAAUUACUGGGCGUAAAGGGCGCGUAGGCGGCUCUGUAAGUCAGGCGUGAAAGCCCUGGGCUCAACCUGGGAGUGGCGCUUGAUACUGUGGGGCUAGAGAGCGGGAGAGGAUGGUGGAAUUCCCAGUGUAGAGGUGAAAUUCGUAGAUAUUGGGAAGAACACCGGUGGCGAAGGCGGCCAUCUGGACCGUAUCUGACGCUGAGGCGCGAAAGCUAGGGGAGCGAACGGG
rnacentral:rRNA from 1 species